GAUGAAGAACGUAGUGAAAUGCGAUAAGUAAUGUGAAUUGCAGAAUUCAGUGAAUCAUCGAAUCUUUGAACGCACAUUGCGCCCCUUGGUAUUCCAUGGGGCAUGCCUGUUCGAGCGUCAUUUGUACCUUCAAGCCUUGCUUGGUGUUGGGUGUUUGUCUCGCCUCUGCGCGCAGACUCGCCUCAAAACAAUUGGCAGCCGGCGUAUUGAUUUCGGAGCGCAGUACAUCUCGCGCUUUGCACUCAGAACGACGACGUCCAAAAGUACAUUUUUACACUCUUGACCUCGGAUCAGGUAGGGAUACCCGCUGAACUUAAGCAUAUCAAUAAGCGGAGGA
rnacentral:misc_RNA from 1 species